rfam:Lasallia pustulata genome assembly, contig: scaffold266_size243617
UAAUGGAGCAAUAUUUACACGACCCACGAGAUACUGGGCGUCCCGUCCGCUCUGCCAUACAUAAGCUUGAGAUCGGCAGAUUAGUAGUUGGGUGGGUGACCACCAGCGAAUCCCUGCUGUUGCAUGUU